AUUGAACGCUAGCGGGAUGCUUUACACAUGCAAGUCGAACGAGUGGCGGACGGGUGAGUAAUAUAUCGGAACGUGCCCCGUAGCGGGGGAUAACUACUCGAAAGAGUGGCUAAUACCGCAUACUAUUUGAGCGGACGAUAUCGGAUUGGCUAGUUGGUGGGGUAAAGGCUAACCAAGGCAACGAUCCGUAGCUGGUUUGCGAGGACGACCGGCCACACUGUGACUGAGACACGGCCCAGACUCCUACGGGAGACAGCAGUGGGGAAUUUUGGACGAUGGGGGGAACCCUGAGCCAGCCAUCCACGGGGAAUGAGAAGGCCUUCGGGUUAUAAAGUACUUUUGGCAGAGAAGCGGUAUCUGCAGAAUAAUCACCGGCUAACUACGUGCCAGCAGCCGCGGUAAUUC
rnacentral:rRNA from 1 species